UACGGUCACAUUACGUUGAAACACCGGUUACCGCACGAUCACCGAAGUUAAGCAACGCCGAGCCUGGUCAAUACCUAGAUGUGUGACUGCUUGGAAAUCCAGGUGA